rnacentral:rRNA from 2 species
AAACUUUCAACAACGGAUCUCUUGGUUCUGGCAUCGAUGAAGAACGCAGCGAAAUGCGAUAAGUAAUGUGAAUUGCAGAAUUCAGUGAAUCAUCGAAUC